UACAGAGGUCUCAAGCGUUUGUUCGGAUUCAUUGGGCGUAAAGGGUGUGUAGGUGGCGCGCUAAGUCGGGUGUGAAAUUUCGGAGCUUAACUCCGAAACUGCAUUCGAUACUGGCGUGCUUGAGGACUGGAGAGGAGACUGGAAUUCAUGGUGUAGCAGUGAAAUGCGUAGAGAUCAUGAGGAAGACCAGUGGCGAAGGCGGGUCUCUGGACAGUUCCUGACGCUGAGGCACGAAGGCCAGGGGAGCAAACGGG
rnacentral:rRNA from 1 species